GGUUGGGUUUUUUCAUUGCAUUUAUGCCCUAGACUUAUGAUUACUUCAAACUCACUGAGCUGACAGAAGAAAACAAUCCUGCCCGUUUCGUGCUACGUGGUGGGUUAGCUCAGGGGACCCAAAACCAGCCUUGUGAGAAAUGAAUUCGUAUCCAGCAUUGAAGCUUUAUGUCAAAAACAUCUGGGGGCUGCAGCAAGUGCAACCUGCUGCGCUAGGUGCUGCGUUCACCCAGGCACGUGGAAAGGCGGUAUGAGGGAAAAAAGAGCAGGUGACUGGGAGCGCACAGAUGGAAGGACAGGGGGGAAUUUAUUUUGUGACAGUAAAUUUCUUUGCACAAUGUAUCUGGCGCUAUUGCGAAGGCAGGCAGUGGAAAACUAUAUCUUGCAUAUAAAGGAAACAAGAUAAAAUGAUAACUUUCUUUUUUUUUUUUUUUUUUUUUUUUUUUUUUCCCUCCAUGCU